CUAGAUAUUACCCUAUAAAUAUCUCCCUAACUAUACACAAACAACAGCGGCCUAACCGUGUGCACAGUAUCAAUCGUUUUUAAAUCGGAUUUUCAUUCUACACCUAUAUUUAUUUUAUUGUGCAUUAUUUAUAACAAUGUACAGGUACGUAAUAAGUAUGCAGUUUCCGCGCAUCGCGGAAUCCCGUAUAAAUAAUUUCACGAGGAUCUCAUAAAACAAAAUAUGC